ACUAGAAAAUCAACUUCCUGAAGAUUACAAUGAUCAAGUGAACCCGAAUGAUAUAUUUGCUCAAAUCAUGGGACCAGAUAGAUCUGGUCGAGUACGUAUGCUUGGUGAUGGAAUUAGCCCAUCUGAUUUAUGGGGAGUAGUUCCUAGUCGUGGCACAUGCAAUCGACUAGUUAUGGAACAGAAUGCAAAGUUAGAACAGAUGAAUAAACAAAUUAAAAAGCAAGGUCAACAUAUUACAAUGUUAGAAACAAAGAUUUCUGAACAAUCAAGCACAAAUCCUCUUUCAAAUUCUAAUAAUAGUCGAUACACUUCAUCAAGUAGUAAUCCACAAGGUUCUAUUCCAUCUCGUCCAACCUUACAGGUAAGAUUUUUUUUUUAAUUUCUAUUUUAUUAUAUAUUCUACACAUCUUGAAAAAUUGAUGUUAUAUCUUUCACUUUCAUGUAGAUUGGAAGUUCUGUCUUGAUCAAAAGUUUAUUUGAUUCAACAAAAACUGUAGCAAAAGGAUUGCUCCUUGACAUGGAUCCAAAUAAUAUAGUAGGGAGACAAAAAUUAUGACCUAAUUGGUGUGAAGUACAAGUACUAGUUGUCCUAGAACCCGAAGAAAAUUUAAUUAGACCUUAUGAUCUUUUACAAAGGUUUGAGGAUGCACUUGGAGGACUGAUAGCUUGGCCUUGUCAUUUGUUGACAAUGUGCGAAGAUUUCUAUUAGUGCAUAUAGAAUAAUACUUUAUAUGUUUCUCAUUCGGUGGCAGGUACUUGGAUUUUGCAUAUGAUGGUUGAAGAUGGUUGAUAGUAAAUUAGUUAGUUUUUUAUUUUAUAAGACUUUGUUAGUUUUAAAAUUCAAUGAUUUGUUAGUAUUUAGUUAACAUUGGAUUCAAUACUUUUACAUUAGUAAUGCAUUUGUAUUUUUGUGAUGA